rnacentral:lncRNA from 1 species
AUGUCAGGAUUUUGUGAAAGCACCGAGCCCUGGAGCUGGAACAGGGGGAACAUUCCCAUCAUUGCCAGGGACAUCCCAGCACCCCUGCCUGGGAUCCUCUGGGAUCCAGAGAGGAGCUGGGAAUGCCCUGGGAUCCACAAAAGAGAGAUAGGAAUGCCGUGGGAUCCACAAAAAGGAGCUGGGGAUGCCCUGGGAUCCACAAAAAGGAGCUGGGGAUGCCCUGGGAUCCACAAAAAGGAGCUGGGGAUGCCCUGGGAUCCACAAAAAGGAGCUGGGGAUGCCCUGGGAUCCACAAAAAGGAGCUGGGGAUGCCCUGGGAUCCACAAAAAGGAGCUGGGGAUGCCCUGGGAUCCACAAAAAGGAGCUGGGGAUGCCCUGGGAUCCACAAAAAGGAGCUGGGGAUGCCCUGGGAUCCACAAAAAGGAGCUGGGGAUGCCCUGGGAUCCACAAAAAGGAGCUGGGGAUGCCCUGGGAUCCACAAAAAGGAGCUGGGGAUGCCCUGGGAUCCACAAAAAGGAGCUGGGGAUGCCCUGGGAUCCACAAAAAGGAGCUGGGGAUGCCCUGGGAUCCACAAAAAGGAGCUGGGGAUGCCCUGGGAUCCACAAAAAGGAGCUGGGGAUGCCCUGGGAUCCACAAAAAGGAGCUGGGGAUGCCCUGGGAUCCACAAAAAGGAGCUGGGGAUGCCCUGGGAUCCACAAAAAGGAGCUGGGGAUGCCCUGGGAUCCACAAAAAGGAGCUGGGGAUGCCCUGGGAUCCACAAAAAGGAGCUGGGGAUGCCCUGGGAUCCACAAAAAGGAGCUGGGAAUGCCCUGGGAUCCCCAAAAGGAGCUGGGAAUGCCCUGGGUUCCUCAAAAGAGAGAUAGGAAUGCCCUAGGAUCCCCAAAAAGGAGCUGGGAAUGCCUUGGGAUCCCCAAAAAGGAGCUGGGAGUGCCCUGGGAUCCCCAAAAAGGAGCUGGGAGUGCCCUGGGAUCCCCAGGGGGGGGGGGGGGGGGGGGGGGGGGGGGGGGGGGGGGGGGGGGGGGGGGGGGGGGGGGGGGGGGGGGGGGG